UUGACGAUGGACAGUCAUAAAGAAUAUAAUCCUAGUUCAAAUUUGAAGCAAAGAUAAAACGGAUCGCUAUGAAAACAGCUGGAAGAGAACGAAAGAGGAGUAAGGAUAUUCAAAUGAAAGCAACAGACACAGCGUGUUUUUAUGGACUUACUUGUGCACACAUUCAAAAAAUUUUCGCCUUUUCUCUUAAAACUUUGCACGAAAAACUUUGUCUUAACAUUUUUGUUAGGCAAUGACUACCUUCAAUUUUUGCUGCUAGUAAACGAGUACUAGCUAAAAGUUUAGGAUAGAAAUGAUUAGACAAUAAA